rnacentral:rRNA from 1 species
GGGCCCGCACAAGCGGUGGAGCAUGUGGCUUAAUUCGAUGCAACGCGAAGAACCUUACCAGGGCUUGACAUGCCCGUCGUAUUCUGCAGAAACGUAGAAGUCAGUUCGGCUGGACGGUGCACAGGUGCUGCAUGGCUGUCGUCAGCUCGUGCCGUGAGGUGUUGGGUUAAGUCCCGCAACGAGCGCAACCCUUGUGAUUAGUUGCCACUCCCUUCGGGGAAGCACUCUAAUCAGACUGCCCGUGACAAGCGGGAGGAAGGUGGGGACGACGUCAAGUCUGUAUGGCCCUUAUGCCCUGGGCUGCACACGUGCUACAAUGGCCGGUACAGAGGGAGGCAAGACCGCGAGGUGGAGCAAAUCCCCAAAACGGCCCCAGUUCGGAUCGUAGUCUGCAACUCGACUACGUGAAGUUGGAAUCGCUAGUAA